rnacentral:rRNA from 1 species
AGCCUGAUGCACCAUGCCGCGUGUAUGAAGAAGGCCUUCGGGUUGUAAAGUACUUCAGAGGGAGGAAGGUUCAUGCGUUAAUAGCGUAUGGAUUUGACGUUACCUACAGAAGAAGCACCGGCUAACUCCGUGCCAGCAGCCGCGGUAAUACGGAGGGUGCGAGCGUUAAUCGGAAUUACUGGGCGUAAAGCGCAUGCAGGUGGUUAGUUAAGUCAGAUGUGAAAGCCCGGGGCUCAACCUCGGAAUUGCAUUUGAAACUGGCUGACUAGAGUACUGUAGAGGGGGGUAGAAUUUCAGGUGUAGCGGUGAAAUGCGUAGAGAUCUGAAGGAAUACCGGUGGCGAAGGCGGCCCCCUGGACAGAUACUGACACUCAGAUGCGAAAGCGUGGGGAGCAAACAGGAUUAGAUACCCUGGUAGUCCACGCCGUAAACGAUGUCUACUUGGAGGUUGUGGCCUUGAGCCGUGGCUUUCGGAGCUAACGCGUUAAGUAGACCGCCUGGG